GACGAACGCUGGCGGCGUGCUUAACACAUGCAAGUCGAACGGAAAGGCCCUGCGUUUGUGGGGUGCUCGAGUGGCGAACGGGUGAGUAACACGUGAGUAACCUGCCCUUGACUUUGGGAUAACUUCAGGAAACUGGGGCUAAUACCGGAUAGGAGCUCCUGCUGCAUGGUGGGGGAUGGAAAGUUUCGGCGGUUGGGUAUGGACUCGCGGCUUAUCAGCUUGUUGGUGGGGUAGUUGCUUACCAAGCCUUUGACGGGUAGCCGGCCUGAGAGGGUGACCGGCCACAUUGGGACUGCGAUACGGCCCAGACUCCUACGGGAGGCAGCAGUGGGGAAUAUUGCACAAUGGGCGGAAGCCUGAUGCAGCAACGCCGCGUGCGGGAUGACGGCCUUCGGGUUGUAAACCGCUUUCGCAUGUGACGAAGCGUGAGUGACGGUAAUGGGUAAAGAAGCACCGGCUAACUACGUG
rnacentral:rRNA from 1 species